GUGGUGGUGGCAGCAGCAGCUGCGGUGGUUCCGGGUGUCUUUGUCCCCCUGGUGUCGUGGCCCUGGCCCGCAGGUUUCCACCCAAGACCUUGAAAGGACAGCAUUCCAAAUGUCCCAGUUUAAGCGCCAGAGGAUCAACCCACUUCCAGGGGGACGGAACUUCUCAGGCGCAGCUUCAACAUCUCUUUUGGGUCCUCCUCCUGGUCUGCUUACUCCUCCUGUGGCCACAGACUUGUCCCAAAAUGCCAGGCACCUUCAGAGUGGGGAGAAGCAGCGAGUCUUCACUGGCAUUGUUACCAGCUUGCAUGACUACUUUGGGGUGGUAGAUGAAGAAGUCUUUUUUCAGCUAAGUGUGGUGAAGGGCCGACUACCCCAGCUGGGUGAGAAGGUGCUGGUGAA
rnacentral:lncRNA from 1 species